GUGAGUGGGAGGGACAGUGUGGGACAGCCCGAGAGGAGGCCGAGGCUCGACGGGGCGGCGGUCGCAGGGGUCGUGGGUCACCAAGGAGGGCGCGGGACGGCGGGCAGUGACACCGGGGCGGGGACUCUUACCGAGGAGGAGGAAAAGAAGAGGGAGGGCCGAUAGCAUCCUGGGUUGAACAGGGGUGCCGGCAGGGUCCCGGGGCGCCUCUUGUCUACCUGGCAGGAAGCUCCUCGCCGGGUGGGGGCUGCAUAGCCCCGGUGCGACCCAGGCUCGGGGUGCCAGGGCUGGACGCACGGCGGAGAGGAACAGGCGUGACGCCUCUUGCUAACUUCAGAGUUGAUCGCUCCUUACCAGUGCCCGGCGGUGCUCGCCCGGAAGGCCGCGAGCGCCCCGGCCAGGCCCGGCCGCACCUGCCGGGCUCGACGCUGCGUCCUCCGCGGACCAAACUUUGUGGACUGCCCGUCCCCGAGCCGGCGUGCGGCUCGGUCCCCGCGGCCCUUAGGGGACGGCGGCUUUGCACAGCUCGCGGUGCCCCAGCGGACCCCGGCCGAAGCCCAGCAGCCGGCGACGAGGGGCGCGGCCAGCUUGGCCCCACCCCUGCCAGUCACCGCGCGGCCACGCCCACCUGCGCUCAGCUCCUUUCCGGGUUGCUUUUGCCGUCACGCUCCGGAUCGCCCUUUGGCUGCCGCCUGCGUUAUCUUUCAGAUGUGUCUUGUCAAAGGAUGUCUGCUUUUCCCGCCGUAACUGCUACGUGUCUUUGGACCCUUAAAUCCUCAGUACUUUUUCUUCACCCAGCGCCUUAGAUCCCGUAGCGCUUCUGGUAGUAAGCCUUUACUGAACCAAUUACCAGGCGCUAUUAUAAUUAUCUGUUACAAUGUUUAUUCAUCACUCCCGCCCCCGCCUCAGCUUUGGAAACUGACACUUCCUGUAGGCUGGGGCCUAGACUGGGUACCUUUGUCCCAAGAGUGUUGCUUGCUCUCCUGCUGAGAUGCAGUGAUCUCUACGAAUGGUAAAGACAUAAUAUGGCUUCACUUGCUGGAUCCGUGAACUUGAGAAAAUUACUCCUCCGUUCAAGCAGUCCUGUAAAAAUUGAGGGUCAUGAUAGUGUGACUCCCUCCUAUGGUACUUGUGAACAUUUAGGGUAACAUUGUAGAUUGAGCCCUAAGCACGUUGGCAGACAUAGGAAGUGAGGUGUUUCUAUCUGAUAGCAACAAUUAUUCUCAGUUACAGGGUAGUAUUAUUAAAUUUUGUGGGUUUCCGGUUUCCUGUGGCACAGGUGGGUAAUAUUUACAAAAGAAUAACAAGUUGAAUAUUUUUUUUCACAUUUCAGGCUUAUACCUAAGUACAUUUAGUAUACAUAUAGUAAAUAUUUAACAGCGAGAUGUUUGUUCCUCUUGUCAACAGUCCUGUGAGGUAGUCUAUGGUUACUUCCAUUUUACAGAUAAGGAAGUGCUGGCAUGGAGAAGUUUAGUAAUACCUUCCCCAAAUCUGAAUAUUCAAAUCUGAAUGGCUCCCACUGUUUUAAACAAUUUGAGCACCAACAUAGUGCCACAGGUGGGAAAUUCCAUACAGUAAAACUUUGUUUCAUCUUCAGCAUUGCUAAAAAUACUUGAUUAAAUUUAUCAUCAGGCUACUUGUGAUGUGUAUAUGAAACAUGAAUAAAUGCCAUCUACCUGUGUGCUGUGGCAUACAUUGCAA
rnacentral:lncRNA from 1 species